UACAGAGGGUGCGAGCGUUGUCCGGAUUUAUUGGGCGUAAAGAGCUCGUAGGCGGCUUGUUGCGUCGACUGUGAAAACCCGCGGCUCAACCGCGUGGCUUGCAGUCGAUACGGGCAGGCUAGAAUUCGGUAGGGGAGACUGGAAUUCCCGGUGUAGUGGUGGAAUGCGUAGAUAUCGGGAGGAACACCAGUGGCGAAGGCGGUUGCCUGGAGCUUUGCUGACGCUGAUGCGCGAAAGCGUGGGGAGCGAUCCGG
rnacentral:rRNA from 1 species